CACGUAGGGCGCGAGCGUUGUCCGGAAUUAUUGGGCGUAAAGAGCUCGUAGGCGGCCUGUUGCGUCCGCUGUGAAAGCCCGGGGCUUAACCCCGGGUCUGCAGUGGAUACGGGCAGGCUAGAGGUAGGUAGGGGAGAAUGGAAUUCCCGGUGUAGCGGUGAAAUGCGCAGAUAUCGGGAGGAACACCGGUGGCGAAGGCGGUUCUCUGGGCCGAUACUGACGCUGAGGAGCGAAAGCGUGGGGAGCAAACAGG
rnacentral:rRNA from 1 species